rnacentral:tRNA from 1 species
GGGCCCGUAGUCUAGCCUGGUUAGGAUGUCCGCCUUACGAGCGGAGUCCCGGCGGGCCCACCA